CUAGAUUGGGGAAGGAAUUCCAAGGUUUUUGUUCACCAUAAUGGUCAUGAAAAACAUAACAAACAGAAAACCUAAAGUACAAUCAUGAGAGAACAUUGUAGAUGUUAACCUAGAUUGGGGAAGGAAUUCCAAGGCUCUCAACCAGCUCUUAGAAAUUGAUUUUAACAAUCCUGCAUCCCAAAUAAUUGUCAGUCUUCCAUAACAUGAGCGCCACACAUACAUUGAUGCGAUGACACACGUAUUACAAGACAAUGCCAUGAUGUAAACACAAAUAAGAGAGUAGGAAAAAAAAAAAAAAAAAGGGGCUAGCAGGAAG